rnacentral:tRNA from 1 species
GGGCCCUUAGCUCAGUGGAUUAGAGCGAUUGACUACGGAUCAAUAGGCCAAAGGUUCGAAUCCUUUAGGGCCCACCA